rnacentral:rRNA from 1 species
AAAUGACUCUCGGCAACGGAUAUCUCGGCUCUCGCAUCGAUGAAGAACGUAGCGAAAUGCGAUACUUGGUGUGAAUUGCAGAAUCCCGUGAACCAUCGAGUCUUUGAACGCAAGUUGCGCCUGAGGCCGUUAGGCUGAGGGCACGUCUGCCUGGGCGUCACAU